UCGAGCCCGACGGGUCGGGGUCAGGGUCCGAGUCCGAGUCCGACUGGUCCGAACACCACGCUUUCCUGUUCGAUCCUUUCUUUUUGGAUGAAUGGUGUAUAAAAAAUGAAGAAUUGGAGAAAUAUAUGAUGUGGUGUUUAAUUUGGAGAAGACGAGAGGCCGUUUUUUUAACUGUCUUGAAGACUUGAAGACUGAUGGCUUUUUCUACAGAUAUGUUAAGAACAGGGUGAAUACUGCUAUUAUUCACUAUAACAAGAAAAAUCAAACUGGCUUUAGAGCAGGCAAGAUUUUGAAUUGCGUUCUCACUACAGCUGGGGGCGCCAAGUUCUAUUUGACCUUUGUGGCCAAGGAUUUCAAUACUGGUGAUGUGGGGGAAUUCCAAGCGUGUGUGCAUGAAUCUGCUGCUGGGGGUGAUAGGAAAGUCUACCUUUGCAGGCUUAAAAUUCCUAAGGAGCCAUGCGAGGGUGGUGGCAAAUGCGUUUGAAGGAGGUUGAAUUUCAUGAUCGACUUGGGAAUUGAGUGGAUGCUAUUGUGUGUGGAGAUUUGAAUCUUUGCUGAAAUCACUUGGGAAUAUU